AUUGAACGCUGGCGGCAGGCCUAACACAUGCAAGUCGGACGAGUGGCGCACGGGUGAGUAACGUCUCGGAAAGUACCGGAUGAAGGGGGAUAACUGCCCGAAAGGACAGCUAAUACCGCAUACCAUCCGAGAGGCCGAUGUGGGAGUGGAUGGUUGGGGGGGUAAAGGCCCACCAAGGCGACGAUCCGUAGCUGGUCUGAGAGGAUGACCCGCCACACGGGUAUGGAGACACGGCCCAGAGUCCUACGGGAGGCAGCAGUGGGGAAUUUUGAACAAUGGGCGCAAGCCUGAUCCAGCCAUGCCGCGUGUCUGAAGAAGGCCUUCGGGUUGUAAAGUACUUUUGGCAGGGAGGCGUUACCUGCAGAAUAAGCACCGGCUAACUACGUGCCAGCAGCCGCGGUAAUAC
rnacentral:rRNA from 1 species